rnacentral:lncRNA from 1 species
GCCCCGCCUCAAGCUCCCUCCCGCCCUGGUUCGUGGGCUUCCGCCCGCGCCCGGCGCCGGCGCAGCGCCGGGGACGCGGGAGCCAGCGCUCCCGUGCGUGUGCAUGUGCGUGGGCCAGAGCCUCCCCCGGGCGCGCGCAGGCCGGGCGCUGAGGCUGCGGGGCUCUGCCGCGUCUCGGAGCGGGCGCCCCGGCCACUUUCGCCCUCCGCGCACACCGGCCGACACCGGGAGGCGCGCCCACGGGUCUGCGGUCUUGCCUCUUGCCGCCGGCACAUUGAGUUUGUGGGGGAGUGGACGGUGCACAAUAAACACUUGCAGAACAAAUGGAAAAAGCGACGUCUUCGAUUUGUAGUGUAAAGCGCAACCCCAGUUGCCCAGCAGAAAGGGAUCACCCAUAGGGCUUCGGAGCUAGUAGGUCCGCGCCCGGACACUCCAAGGAAAAGUCCAGGGGCUGGAGGCGGCGACCCGUCUGUGGCAGUCCAGACCCUGGACUCGAUUCGGAGAGCUCUGAUAACUUGGCUCUGUCCUUAACAUCCCUGCUCAGCGCCAGUAAUGGCUCCGUUGCUGUUGAACCACGUCGCCUUCCCUCUGACGCGGCGGCUGUGCCUGUGUCUGGCGUCGGGAGCUGGGAAGUCCCUCCCGCUCCCGCGUUUUCUGCUCACCGAGAUGCAGGAGGCCGGACAGCAAUGCCGCGCCGCCUUAGAGUCGCUCAUGUUGCUUUACCUCACACGCGAAGUUUCCCCGAAACGCGUAAUUUAAUAUCUAAAGAUUAGAGCAGAAGCUUCCUCUUGGGCUUAUUGAAGAUGACAUAAGAUAGUGCUUGCAACAGGCACCUAAGUAAACAUUUGGGAAAUAAUAUGAUGAUUGGAUGUGUUAAUUUUCUAAAGGAAGUUCUAUAUGGCCUCAGUUGAUUUUGUAAUGUUAAUUGACUUUGGUUUAACGUUCCCCAAGGCGACUUUAUACGCAUCUUUUUUGAUGUUCACAAAAGCACCCAAGUUACGGCUUAUAUGGAGGAAAUAGGAUGGAAGAGACCGGUUGUAGAGUCAGACAUAUCCAGUUCACAUAUUGGGUAAAUUGUUUAACUUCUCUAAACCUCAGCUGAAGGAGAGCUAUGGAAAGCACCUAAUAAGGCACUUGUAAGGAUUAAGUGAAAUAAUGCCCAGCUAAGGUAUUAGCUCCAUGAUGGAAAAUCACCUGCACCCACAGAUAGUGGGUUCCAGUGGCCUGGACAGAACCAGAACCAAGUCUUCUGCCACGAAAGUUCACACUCAUCAGACAUGAUACCGUGUACUCGCUUUAUUCUUGUUUG